rnacentral:rRNA from 1 species
CGGAGGGUGCGAGCGUUGUCCGGAAUCACUGGGCGUAAAGGGCGCGUAGGCGGCUUGGGAAGUCCAUGGUGAAAGCUCGCGGCUCAACUGCGAGUCGGCCAAGGAUACUCCUGAGCUCGGGUCGACUAGAGGCUAAUGGAAUUCCGGGUGUAGCGGUGGAAUGCGUAGAGAUCCGGAAGAACACCGGUGGCGAAGGCGGUUAGCUGGGGUCGGACUGACGCUGAGGCGCGACAGCGUGGGGAGCAAACAGGAUUAGAUACCCUGGUAGUCCACGCCGUAAACGAUGGGCACUAGGUGCUUGGGGGAGCGACCCCCUGAGUGCCGGCGCUAACGCAUUAAGUGCCCCGCCUGGGGAGUACGGCCGCAAGGCUG